GCACGCCCUAGGGACAGACAGACAUCACCUCAUUCUGAUGCCCCACACACAGCCUUCCUAGGCAGAAAAACGUACCAUGAGCAAGCACAGGCUGCUCCCUCUGUGGGCAGAGACAGGCACCAUCCUUCAAGAGGUAUGAGCACUGAUGGAGGAUAUCAAUUUCAGUGGUAUCAGUAGGAAGAAAAAUACAGUCGAAUGUACAAUAUCAAGUAUCUUCUGUGGAGGACUUCUUGCUCCAGAAAGAAAGUGGAGGAUAUGACCAUCUCUUUUGGACCUUGUUCUGACCAACAGGGAACAAUUCAUAGAAUGAUAGCACCGUAGAAAAGUAGGUGUAGAAGAGGCCUCAGGAUGUCAUCUAAUUUUACCUGCUGCUCAGGAUCUCAACCAUAUCGGCCAGGACAUCUCCUGCCACUGCUGGUUGUUCCAAGUCAUCAGGGUGAUUUGCUCUCAUCAGUCCAAGCUGCUGUCGUGGGCCCACACCAUGCGGAUGCUGGUCCUCCUCAGGUUUCUCAACAGUGCCCAGCCAUCCUCCACUUCUUCACUUCCCUCUGGGUAUUCUACAUCCUCUGGGUAUCUGGAUCUUCUUUUUAUCGCUAUUAUUCUUGCUGUUAAAGCAGUAACACACCUUGCCAUUGAAUAGUCUGUCAUCAUUCUUAUACAUAUCAAGUGGUGCAGCCGAGAUGCCCAGGUAAGCAGCAUUUGCAGAAGCAGUACUGCCUUCUCCUCCUGCUCACCCAUGUCCUCCAUAUUCUCCAUGUUGGAGGACUCUUCACUGCAUUGUUCUCCAUUGUCAUGCAUUUCAUCUUCAGUCUCCACUUUGCCUCUUUCCGUCAGCAGCAGCGGCUUCUCACCUGUCUGCACCAAAUGUGGGGCAGGGACUGUAGGGAGUUGUGUGGCCUGGAGCUGUGCCUCUCCUGUCCACAUGCUCUGUGCUUCCCCCUCCCUCCAGGGUGCUGGCUGCUCUCUGUUCCCCUGCCACUUCCCCUGACUGACCUGAUUUCUAUGGUUGCUGCUGCUGUAGCAGAAAGCCCCCUUUUCCUCCUGCCUGCAUUUGCUCUCCCCUCUUUGGAUAUGUUUCUCUUUUUCUACCUUUUCUUCCUUCUUCUCUCUUUCACUUUAAGAUUUUAAAAUUUGUAUGUGUGCAUUUUGUAUCUCCCCUUGUAGUUUGGUAUUUUUAUCUAUUUGUGUGCCAUGGCAUUUGUAGUUUAUAUUUUAUACUCUUCACCUUUCAACUUUCAACUGAAUAGGUUUAGUUUCAUAAGUAAAUUAUACAUUGUAACAAUGUUAACAAGAGCAGGAAUCAAAUUGCCCUUCCCUGUAUUAGGCUGGCCUCUGAAAGAGCGAGUGAAUCAGUGAUUGAAUGUGUAACAUAGUAGCAGGCAGCAAGUAUCACCUGGAAGCUGCAGAUCAACCAAGGGAAGAACUCAAUAGAAGACAAUGUAACAACCGGGAAAUAUCUAAACGUCACUGAUCAAGGGCUAGAAGCCCUGGCCUGAGUUAAUCAACGCCAGAGACCAACUUUUGGGCUGAAUAUCUCCAGUUCGACCACUCCCAAAGCCCUAUUCUAAAUUCAUCAACGGACUCCCAAACCUGCACGUACAUGCGGACGACCCCUGGGGCUGACAGAUGCUGUCCAGUAGCCACCGAGGGGGGAGAAGUCCCACGAGGGUCAAUGACCCCUGGAUUGGGCAAACCUGAAAACUGGGGAGUCACCAAAGUCUGCCAGGGACAGAUAAAAGGCAGUGAAAAGUGCCCCUCAGUGGCGCCCUCUUGAUCUCCAACUUAACCAGCACCCAACCUGUCCAGCCAGAAGGACCAGCCAGCGACCCCCUUCUGGAAGAUAACACCACGGUGAAAGAAGCCUCAACAACAGACUCCAGCGCUUGUAGGAUAGGUAUACCUGACUCUGUAGCCUACUACUGUGUGUGUUCAUGUGUGUGUGUGUGUGUGUGUGUGUGGGGACCAGCCCCAAGGUUUAUGAUUACAGUGUUUCAAUCUGCCUAAUAAACUAGAAUUUUAAGGA